AGGAUCAACGCUGGCGGCGUGCAUGAGACAUGCAAGUCGAACGGACGAUCAAAGCUUGCUUUGUUCGUUAGUGGCGGACGGCUGAGUAACGCGUGGGUGACCUGCCCCGAAGUGGGGAAUAACUGCCCGAAAGGGUGGCUAAUACCGCAUGUGGUCGUCGAAUCAGUUCGCCGACUAAAGGAGAAAUCCGCUUCCGGAGGGGCCUGCGUCCGAUUAGCUAGUUGGUGAGGUAACGGCCCACCAAGGCGACGAUCGGUAGCUGGUCUGAGAGGAUGAUCAGCCAGACUGGGACUGAGAACGGCCCAGACUCCUACGGGAGGCAGCAGUCGGGAAUUUUGCCCAAUGGACGAAAGUCUGAGGCAGCAACUCCGCGUGAGGGAUGAAGGCCUUCGGGUCGUAAACCUCUUUUCUCAGGGAAGAUACAAGACGGUACCUGAGGAAUAAGCCACGGCUAACUACGUGCCAGCAGCCGC
rnacentral:rRNA from 1 species